UGCCCCUUGGCUGAGUUGGUUACAGCAGUCGACUGUUAAACAGUCAAUCCAAUAGGAUUACGCAACAAUCGGAAGGUCGUGAGUUCGACCCUCACAGGGGCAG